ensembl:lncRNA
AUGAAUGUCCGUGAAACAAGAACAGAGUCCAUGACCAGGAAAACACAGAGUCCAGGGAGUCCCUCACGGAGGGUGGGGACGCGGCGAGAUCCUGCUCAACCGCCGCUGAGGCAGGAGGGCACCCCCAGCGCCCUUGGGCUGGGCCAGCGUCCACGGGGACCCCCCCGAACGGCGACGUCCUCCAGGACGACGCCGAUCCUGGAGACCGAGGGGUCGAGGUGGACGUCGCCGCAGGAGGCAGCGCCACCCAAACGGCCGGAAGCGCCGAGGGCGAGGCCACCAGUCCAGCUGCCGAAGCGAGAACAGACCUGGCAACGCGGUCAGCGCCGGGCCGCCAGGAACCGAUGCAGGUGCGGCCGGGCCGCCAGGAACAACACCCUCCUGGAGGAGGGCAGGAACUAUGACGGGCGCGACCCCCUCCUGGAGGUCCGCCGGGACUGCGACGGGCGCGACCCCCUCCUGGAGGUCCGCCGGGACUGCGGCGGGCGCGACCCCCUCCUGGAGGUCCGCCGGGACUGCGGCGGGCGCGACCCCCUCCUGGAGGUCCGCCGGGACUGCGGCGGGCGCGACCCCCUCCUGGAGGUCCGCCGGGACUGCGGCGGGCGCGACCCCCUCCUGGAGGUCCGGGGGGACUGCGGCUGGCGCGACCCCCUCCUGGAGGUGAGCGGGGACUGCGGCUGGCGCGACCCCCUCCUGGAGGUGCGCGGGGACUGCGGCUGGCGCGACCUCCUCCUGGAGGUGCGCGGGGACUGCGGCUGGCGCGACCUCCUCCUGGAGGUGCGCGGGGACUGCGGCUGGCGCGACCUCCUCCUGGAGGUGCGCGGGGACUGCAGCUGGCGCGACCUCCUCCUGGAGGUGAGCGGGGACUGCAGCUGGCGCGACCUCCUCCUGGAGGUGCGCGGGGACUGCAGCUGGCGCGACCUCCUCCUGGAGGUGCGCGGGGACUGCAGCUGGCGCGACCUCCUCCUGGAGGUGCGCGGGGACUGCAGCUGGCGCGACCUCCUCCUGGAGGUGCGCGGGGACUGCAGCUGGCGCGACCUCCUCCUGGAGGUGCGCGGGGACUGCAGCUGGCGCGACCUCCUCCUGGAGGUGCGCGGGGACUGCAGCUGGCGCGGCCUCCUCCUGGAGGUCCGCCGGGACUGCAGCUGGCGCGGCCUCCUCCUGGAGGUGCGCGGGGACUGCAGCUGGCGCGACCUCCUCCUGGAGGUCCGCCGGGACUGCAGCUGGCGCGACCUCCUCCUGGAGGUCCGCCGGGACUGCCACCCCAAGACUGACAGGGACAGGAACGGCAUCUACUUGGCCGACAGGGACAGGAACGGCAUCUACUUGGCCGACAAGGACAGGAACGGCAUCUACUUGGCCGACAGGGACAGGAACGGCAUCUACUUGGCCGACAGGGACAGGAACGGCAUCUACUUGGCCGACAGGGACAGGAACGGCAUCUACUUGGCCGACAGGGACAGGAACGGCAUCUACUUGGCCGACAGGGACAGGAACGGCAUCUACUUGGCCGACAGGGACAGGAACGGCAUCUACUUGGCCGACAGGGACAGGAACGGCAUCUACUUGGCCGACAGAAACAGGAACGGCCGCAACAUGGCCGACAGAAACAGGAACGGCCGCAACAUGGCCGACAGGAACGGCCUCAAAAUGGCCGACAGGAACGGCCUCAAAAUGGCCGACAGAAACAGGAACAGGGACUGGAACGGCCUCAACAUGGCCGACAGGAACAGGAACAGGGACUGGAACGGCCUCAACAUGGCCGACAGGAACAGGAACAGGGACUAG